AGGGUUUGAUCCUGGCUCAGAUUGAACGCUGGCGGUAGGCUUAACACAUGCAAGUCGUGCGAGAAAGUACCUUCGGGUGCGAGUAGAGCGGCGGACGGGUGAGUAACGCGUAGGAAUCUACCUAGUAGAAGGGGAUAGCCCGGGGAAACUCGGAUUAAUACCGUAUACCUCCUUAGGGAGAAAGAGGGCUUAGCUUUGAUGCUCUCGCUAUUAGAUGAGCCUGCGUAAGAUUAGCUUGUUGGUGAGGUAAUGGCUCACCAAGGCGACGAUCUUUAGCUGGUCUGAGAGGACGAUCAGCCACAUUGGGACUGAGACACGGCCCAGACUCCUACGGGAGGCAGCAGUGGGGAAUAUUGGACAAUGGGCGCAAGCCUGAUCCAGCCAUACCGCGUGUGUGAAGAAGGCUUUCGGGUUGUAAAGCACUUUAAGUAAGGAGGAAAAGAUUGUAGUUAAUACCUGCAAUCCGUGACGUUACUUACAGAAUAAGGACCGGCUAAUUCCGUGCCAGCAGCCGCGGUAAUACGGAAGGUCCAAGCGUUAAUCGGAAUUACUGGGCGUAAAGCGCGCGUAGGUGGUUUUUUAAGUUGGAUGUGAAAGCCCUGGGCUCAACCUAGGAACUGCAUCCAAAACUAGAUGACUAGAGUACGAAAGAGGGAAGUAGAAUUCACAGUGUAGCGGUGGAAUGCGUAGAUAUUGUGAAGAAUACCAAUGGCGAAGGCAGCUUCCUGGUUCUGUACUGACACUGAGGUGCGAAAGCGUGGGUAGCGAACAGGAUUAGAUACCCUGGUAGUCCACGCCGUAAACGAUGACAACUAGCUGUUGGGAGACAAGAUCUCUCAGUGGCGCAGCUAACGCUUUAAGUUGUCCGCCUGGGGAG
rnacentral:rRNA from 1 species